CCUGACUGCUAUCGGAUUGAUACUAAGCCAUGCGAGUCUUUGUAGCAAUACAAGGCAUACGGCUCAGUAACACGUAGUCAAUCUACCCUAUGGACGGGGAUAACCUCGGGAAACUGAGAAUAAUACCCGAUAGAUCAUUAUGCCUGGAAUGGUUUAUGAUCCAAAUGAAUUUCGCCAUAGGAUGGGACUGCGGUCUAUCAGCUUGUUGGUGAGGUAAUGGCCCACCAAGGCUAUUACAGGUACGGGCUCUGAGAGGAGAAGCCCGGAGAUGGGUACUGAGACACGGACCCAGGCCCUAUGGGGCGCAGCAGGCGAGAAAACUUUGCAAUGUGCGCAAGCACGACAAGGUUAAUCCGAGUGGUUCCUGCUAAAGGAAUCUUUUGUUAGUUGUAAAACCACUGAUGAGUAAGGGGUGGGCAAGUUCUGGUGUCAGCCGCCGCGGUAAAACCAGCACCUCAAGUGGUCAGGAGGAUUAUUGGGCCUAAAGCAUCCGUAGCCUGCUCUGUAAGUUUCCGGUUAAAUCCAUUCGCUCAACUGAUGGGCUGCCGGAAAAACUGCAGAGCUAGGGAGUGGGAGAGGUAGACGGUACUCGGUAGGAAGGGGUAAAAUCCUUUGAUCUAUUGAUGACCACCUGUGGCGAAGGCGGUCUACCAGAACACGUUCGACGGUGAGGGAUGAAAGCUGGGGGAGCAAACCGGAUUAGAUACCCGGGUAGUCCCAGCUGUAAACGAUGCAGACUCGGUGAUGCUCUGGCUUGUGGCCAGUGCAGUGCCGCAGGGAAGCCGUUAAGUUUGCCGCCUGGGAAGUACGUACGCAAGUAUGAAACUUAAAGGAAUUGGCGGGGGAGCACCACCAAGGGGUGAAGCCUGCGGUUC
rnacentral:rRNA from 1 species